ensembl:lncRNA
UGCCUGCUGCCCCGACUGUGCUGGCGCAGCCUGCCAUAUCCAACAUGGAGGCUCUGGCCGCUAUGGCCCAGCUCUUCCAGUCUCCUCAGGGCCAGGAGUUACAGAGAGUGCUCCAGAAUCUGCAGCAGGGCAAUGACACCCUGGUAGCUGCCAUUGAAACCAACUUGGCAAACCCUGCUCAGAUGUCUACUACUCAUCCCAGUGCUUACAUCUCUCACACAAACAAUAAUACCUUUGCUGAGAAACUUCUAGACCGGUUUGAAUAUGAGGAUGAACCAGAGGAUAAAGCAGUGAGAGAAAACCACGCUCAGCUCUUAAGCAUAGCUGAAAAUGUCCUCAAACAGUUUGCUGGAGAGUUGCCUAACACCCAGGAUGUUCAGCCACAUCUGAUGGUCCCGCAUGAUGGGAACGUAAUAAACCAGGAGAUGAUCCAUCCAGGGCCUGAAGCAUACAGCUCUGUAAAGGAGCCCUACACACGGGAACCUCUCAGAGAUGACUCCCCAGUGAGGCGAGACAGCAGACACAGGAGCUAUGGGAGGAGGUCUAGGUCUCGGUCCAG